CCUUGUACACACCGCCCGUCACACCAUGGAGUUGGGUCUACCUUAAGACGGUGCGCCAACCGCAAGGGGCGAGCCGGCCACGGUAGGCGUCAGCGACUGGGGUG
rnacentral:rRNA from 1 species